GAAUAUUGGACAAUGGGGGCAACCCUGAUCCAGCCAUGCCGCGUGUGUGAAGAAGGCUUUCGGGUUGUAAAGCACUUUCAGCGAGGAGGAAAACCUUACGAUUAAUACUCGUGAGGCUUGACGUUACUCGCCGAAGAAGCACCGGCUAACUCCGUGCCAGCAGCCGCGGUAAUACGGAGGGUGCAAGCGUGAAUCGGAAUUACUGGGCGUAAAGCGCGCGUAGGCGGUUUGAUAAGCGGGAUGUGAAAGCCCCGGGCUUAACCUGGGAACGGCAUUCCGAACUGUCAGGCUAGAGUAUGGUAGAGGGUAGUGGAAUUUCCUGUGUAGCGGUGAAAUGCGUAGAUAUCGGAAGGAACACCAGUGGCGAAGGCGACUUCCUGGGCCAAUACUGACGCUGAGGUGCGAAAGCGUGGGGAGCAAACAGG
rnacentral:rRNA from 1 species